UGUCACAAAAUUCUGAUAUAAAAUGAACAAAAUAAAAAAUAAAUUUACUCUUUUUUCAAAUAUCAUUCAUUCAUACUUUGAUUCCUUUACUCUUCAUAAAGUGCUUUAGGAUAAAGGAAUAACAUAGUGCGGAAGCAAGAAGAGAUAGAGAGGAGAGAGAAAGUGCUGGGUAAUCCCCUCAAACGUGGGCAUAACAAGUGAAAAAAGAUUGGCACCACUUAAAAGAAAUUGCCAAUGAUAAUGAUAAAAUAAACAACAACAACGACAACAACAGCAACAGCAAACGAAUGCCAGACAGCAGGAACCGCAAUGAAGGAGGCCGACCGAAUGGGAGUCAAGAAAAACUUUUAUCCUGUUUCCAUUUUCCUUGCUGCUGUUGCCGCCUCCUUCUGCCCCAGCAGCAGCAGCAAUAGCAGCAGAAACUGAAAUAAACAAAAUGCCUACGAAAA